GGGAUAAUAUCCCUGGAUGUGGCUUUAAAGCUGAACGAGAGG
rnacentral:ncRNA from 1 species